UCUUAUUCUUCCAAAUUCUUUUUGAAUGGUUCCGUUUAACUUAUUUUUCCCCUUUCUAUCCUUUAUCACGGUUAGUUAAUGUUAUAACCUGAAGACAAUUACUUGUAGUGCAAGCCUGCGACAUACCAAAAAAAGAGUUUUACUGAGCUGUUGAAACGAGGGCUCUGAUGGAUCUAAAAUAAUACAUUUCUCCAACGUAUUGG